rnacentral:rRNA from 1 species
GAUGAACGCUGGCGGCGUGCUUAACACAUGCAAGUCGAACGGAAAGGCUCCUGCUUGCAGGGGUACUCGAGUGGCGAACGGGUGAGUAACACGUGGGUGAUCUGCCCUGCACUUCGGGAUAAGCCUGGGAAACUGGGUCUAAUACCGGAUAGGACCACAUUUUGGAUGGUGUGGUGGAAAGUUUUUCGGUGUGGGAUGAGCUCGCGGCCUAUCAGCUUGUUGGUGGGGUAAUGGCCUACCAAGGCGUCGACGGGUAGCCGGCCUGAGAGGGUGUACGGCCACAUUGGGACUGAGAUACGGCCCAGACUCCUACGGGAGGCAGCAGUGGGGAAUAUUGCACAAUGGGCGCAAGCCUGAUGCAGCGACGCCGCGUGGGGGAUGACGGCCUUCGGGUUGUAAACUCCUUUCGCUAGGGACGAAGCGCAAGUGACGGUACCUGGAGGAGAAGCACCGGCUAGCUACGUG